rnacentral:rRNA from 1 species
CCUACGGGAGGCAGCAGUAAGGAAUAUUGGUCAAUGGACGCAAGUCUGAACCAGCCAUGCCGCGUGAAGGAUUAAGGCCCUCUGGGUUGUAAACUUCUUUUAUAGGGGACGAAAAAAGGGCAUUCUUGCUCACUUGACGGUACCCUAGGAAUAAGCACCGGCUAACUCCGUGCCAGCAGCCGCGGUAAUACGGAGGGUGCAAGCGUUAUCCGGAUUUACUGGGUUUAAAGGGUGCGUAGGUGGGUUGGUAAGUCAGUGGUGAAAUCUUCGAGCUUAACUCGGAAACUGCCAUUGAUACUAUCAAUCUUGAAUCAUCUAGAGGUAAGCGGAAUAUGUCAUGUAGCGGUGAAAUGCUUAGAUAUGACAUAGAACACCAAUUGCGAAGGCAGCUUACUAUGGAUGCAUUGACACUGAGGCACGAAAGCGUGGGGAUCAAACAGGAUUAGAUACCCUGGUAGUCCACGCCCUAAACGAUGGAUACUCGACAUUUGUGAUAUACAAUAAGUGUCUGAGCGAAAGCAUUAAGUAUCCCACCUGGAAGUACGACCGCAAGGUUGAAACUCGAAAGGAAUUGACGGCUGAGACGAGACGACGACGACGACGAGGGAGGAGG